CUGGCGCUUAAGACUUCCUGCCUCUUUCCAGGCCUGACGGGGAGAAAAAAGCCUACGUCCGUCUCGCUCCAGAUUACGACGCGCUUGAUGUGGCCAACAAGAUUGGGAUCAUCUAAGCGAAGGCCGGCCAGCGGGGGCUCCAACGCAGCUUUUCUACAAGAGGUUUACAAACUGUUCUACAAAACUGUUCGAAGAUUUACAAUAAAUUAACCCGAACACCA